rnacentral:rRNA from 1 species
GGAAAGGCGCGCGAUACAGGGUGACAGCCCCGUACACAAAAAUGCACAUGCUGUGAGCUCGAUGAGUAGGGCGGGACACGUGGUAUCCUGUCUGAAUAUGGGGGGACCAUCCUCCAAGGCUAAAUACUCCUGACUGACCGAUAGUGAACCAGUACCGUGAGGGAAAGGCGAAAAGAACCCCGGCGAGGGGAGUGAAAAAGAACCUGAAACCGUGUACGUACAAGCAGUGGGAGCACGCUUAGGCGUGUGACUGCGUACCUUUUGUAUAAUGGGUCAGCGACUUAUAUUCUGUAGCAAGGUUAACCGAAUAGGGGAGCCGAAGGGAAACCGAGUCUUAACUGGGCGUUAAGUUGCAGGGUAUAGACCCGAAACCCGGUGAUCUAGCCAUGGGCAGGUUGAAGGUUGGGUAACACUAACUGGAGGACCGAACCGACUAAUGUUGAAAAAUUAGCGGAUGACUUGUGGCUGGGGGUGAAAGGCCAAUCAAACCGGGAGAUAGCUGGUUCUCCCCGAAAGCUAUUUAGGUAGCGCCUCGUGAAUUCAUCUCCGGGGGUAGAGCACUGUUUCGGCAAGGGGGUCAUCCCGACUUACCAACCCGAUGCAAACUGCGAAUACCGGAGAAUGUUAUCACGGGAGACACACGGCGGGUGCUAACGUCCGUCGUGAAGAGGGAAACAACCCAGACCGCCAGCUAAGGUCCCAAAGUCAUGGUUAAGUGGGAAACGAUGUGGGAAGGCCCAGACAGCCAGGAUGUUGGCUUAGAAGCAGCCAUCAUUUAAAGAAAGCGUAAUAGCUCACUGGUCGAGUCGGCCUGCGCGGAAGAUGUAACGGGGCUAAACCAUGCACCGAAGCUGCGGCAGCGACACUAUGUGUUGUUGGGUAGGGGAGCGUUCUGUAAGCCUGUGAAGGUGUACUGUGAGGUAUGCUGGAGGUAUCAGAAGUGCGAAUGCUGACAUAAGUAACGAUAAAGCGGGUGAAAAGCCCGCUCGCCGGAAGACCAAGGGUUCCUGUCCAACGUUAAUCGGGGCAGGGUGAGUCGA